AGUUUGAUUAUGGCUCAGAUUGAACGCUGGCGGGAUGCUUUACACGUACAAAUCGAACGGCAGCACGGACUUCAGUCUGGUGGCGAGUGGCGAACGAGUGAGUAAUGUCGGAACGUGCCUAGUAGCGGGGGAUAACUACGCGAAAGCGUAGCUAAUACCACAUACGCCCUUCGGGGAAAGCGGGGGACCUUCGGGCCUCGCACUAGUAGAGCGGCCGAUAUCGGAUUGGCCCUAGUUGGUGGGUAACGGCUCACCAAGGCGACGAUCCGUAGCUGGUUUGAGAGGACGACCAGCCACACUGGGACUGAGACACGGCCCAGACUCCUACGGGAAGCAGCAGUGGGGAAUUUUGGACAAUG
rnacentral:misc_RNA from 1 species